UACGUAGGGCGCAAGCGUUGUCCGGAAUUAUUGGGCGUAAAGAGCUCGUAGGCGGCUUGUCACGUCGGUUGUGAAAGCCCGGGGCUUAACCCCGGGUCUGCAGUCGAUACGGGCAGGCUAGAGUUCGGUAGGGGAGAUCGGAAUUCCUGGUGUAGCGGUGAAAUGCGCAGAUAUCAGGAGGAACACCGGUGGCGAAGGCGGAUCUCUGGGCCGAUACUGACGCUGAGGAGCGAAAGCGUGGGGAGCGAACAGG
rnacentral:rRNA from 1 species